rnacentral:rRNA from 1 species
UACGAAAGGUGCAAGCGUUACUCGGAAUCACUGGGCGUAAAGCGCACGUAGGCGGACUUACAGGUCAAUUGUGAAAUACCUGAGCUCAACUCAGGAACUGCAGUUGAAACCGUUUGUCUUGAAUACCUGAGAGGGUGGGGGAAUACCUGGUGGAGAAGUGAAAUUCGUAGAUAUCUGCAGGAACACCCGUGGCGAAAGCGGCGCGCUGGACCACUACUGACGCUGAGGAACGAAAGCUAGGGGAGCAAACAGG